UGGCGGCAGGCUUAACACAUGCAAGUCGAGCGGUAGCAGAUCUAGCUUGCUAGAUGUUGACGAGCGGCGGACGGGUGAGUAACGCGUAGGAACCUGCCCAGUAGUGGGGGAUAGCCCGGGGAAACUCGGAUUAAUACCGCAUACGCUCUACGGAGGAAAGAGGGGGCUUCGGGCUCUCGCUAUUGGAUGGGCCUGCGUGAGAUUAGCUAGUUGGUGAGGUAAUGGCUCACCAAGGCGACGAUCUCUAGCUGGUCUGAGAGGAUGAUCAGCCACACUGGGACUGAGACACGGCCCAGACUCCUACGGGAGGCAGCAGUGGGGAAUAUUGCACAAUGGGCGCAAGCCUGAUGCAGCCAUGCCGCGUGUGUGAAGAAGGCUUUCGGGUUGUAAAGCACUUUCAGUGGGGAGGAAGGCCUCGUAGUUAAUAGCUGCGAGGAUUGACGUUACCCACAGAAGAAGCACCGGCUAACUCCGUG
rnacentral:rRNA from 1 species